rnacentral:rRNA from 1 species
GCGUAAUAGCUCACUGGUCGAGUCGGCCUGCGCGGAAGAUGUAACGGGGCUAAACCAUGCACCGAAGCUGCGGCAGCGACACUAUGUGUUGUUGGGUAGGGGAGCGUUCUGUAAGCCUGCGAAGGUGACCUGUGAGGGUUGCUGGAGGUAUCAGAAGUGCGAAUGCUGACAUAAGUAACGAUAAAGCGGGUGAAAAGCCCGCUCGCCGGAAGAC